rnacentral:rRNA from 1 species
UGAAAGGAUAACUGUGGUAAUUCUAGAGCUAAUACAUGCAGAAUGGAUGCAGUUAUUAGAAUAAAACCAAGUUUGGUGAAUCUGAAUAACCCACGGUCUUUGUACCGGCGACAUAUCCUUCAAAUGUCUGCCUUAUCAACCGUCGAUGGUAGUUUAUGCGCCUACCAUGGUUGUAACGGGUAACGGAGAAUUAGGGUUCGACUCCGGAGAGGGAGCCUGAGAAAUGGCUACCACAUCUAAGGAAGGCAGCAGGCACGCAAAUUACCCACUCUUGGUGAGGAGGUAGUGACGAAGAAUAACAGGACGGCCUCUUAUGUCACUGGAAUGAGUACAGUUUAAAUCCUUUAACGAGGAUCUAUUGGAGGGCAAGUCUGGUGCCAGCAGCCGCGGUAAUUCCAGCUCCAAUAGCGUAUAUUAAAGUUGUUGCGUUUAAAAAGCUCGUAGUUGAAUCUGCUUGGUUGGCGGUCCCUUAACAGGUGUUAUCUGGUUUUCUCUUGAUGCUCUUCAUUGAGUGUCUUGAGUGACUGGAGAGUUUACUUUGAAAAAAUCAAAGUGCUCAAAGCAGGCUUUUAGUCUGAAUGGUGGUGCAUGGAAUAAUGGAAUAAGAGGUUUUAUUUUCAUGGCUUUCGAAUCUCGAGGUAAUGAUUAAGAGGGACAGACGGGGGCAUUCGUAUUGCAGCGUUAGAGGUGAAAUUCUUGGA